rnacentral:misc_RNA from 1 species
AAAGUCGUAACAAGGUUUCCGUAGGUGAACCUGCGGAAGGAUCAUUACCGAAUGUCCUGCACCUGUCGGAGUAGACCAAUGCUCUGAUUAUCCCACCACCAUCCUGGGGGUUAAUUGGUGAUAAAAUCAACCACCACGGGGAGAGGGGAGGUUGAUCCCAUCACCUGGCAGUUAGAUGUCGGACGCUGCCGGGAUGGAUGGGGCAUAGAUUAGCAUGGGUAUACCACCUGCUUGACAGUGUGCAACUUCUUCUUGUAGUAGAUGAUUCAAUAGUCUGCCAUCAGAGUUUGAGGGGAACCUCAGAUGCUGUUUGGCAGGCCUUUGGGCUCCUACCUACGUCUUCUUUUUUCACCACACAAAAACCUUGUCAUGGUACGGUGUUAAACACAUAUAAUAUAACUUUCAACAACGGAUCUCUUGGCUCUC